rnacentral:rRNA from 1 species
GUUGAACGCUGGCGGCAGGCCUAACACAUGCAAGUCGAGCGGAUGAAGGGAGCUUUCUCCUGGAUUCAGCGGCGGACGGGUGAGUAAUGCCUAGGAAUCUGCCUGGUAGUGGGGGAUAACGUCCGUAAACGGGCGCUAAUACCGCAUACGUCCUGAGGGAGAAAGUGGGGGAUCUUCGGACCUCACGCUAUCAGAUGAGCCUAGGACGGAUUAGCUAGUUGGUGGGGUAAAGGCCUACCAAGGCGACUAUCCGUAACUGGUCUGAGAGGAUGAUCAGUCACACUGGAACUGAGACACGGUCCAGACUCCUACGGGAGGCAGCAGUGGGGAAUAUUGGGCAAUGGGCGAAAGCCUGGUCCAGCCAUGCCGCGUGUGUGAAGAAGGUCUUCGGAUUGUAAAGCACUUUAAGUUGGGAGGAAGGGCAGUAAGUUAAUACCUUGCUGUUUUGACGUUACCAACAGAAUAAGCAACGGCUAACUUCGUG